rnacentral:tRNA from 1 species
GCUCCUGUAGCUCAGUUGGAUAGAGCGUUGGGUUCCGAACCCAAAGGUCGGAGGUUCGAAUCCUCUCGGGGGCACCA